AGGCGUUUUUCUCAACACUGGUAAUUUUGGCGGGAGUUUUAGCAUGGUCACUUUUGCAUUGUCCCCAAAAUGAGUAAAAUAGAAUAUCGAGCUGUCAUUAGAUUUCUGUUUUUAAAAAAGAAAUCCAACGAUGAAAUAAAAAAUGAGUUAAUCGAAGUUUAUGGGGAAUCAGCUCCAUCGAUUUCGACCAUUAAAUAUUGGACUGCUGAGUAUAGGCGCGGGCGGACAAGCAUUUUUGACGAGGACCGUCCGGGACGUCCCAGAGAGGUAUAAAAAAAUUGGAGGACCGUUGGACUAAGUGCAUACGUCUAAAAGGAGAUUAUGUU